AGAGCAUCAAGGGUUCACAAAGGUCUUACAAACCUCUACGCAGUGCGCAUCACACCCAACGCGCCAGACGGGGACGGCACACAGAUACCGAGACUCCCACAAGCAUAUGCAUGCACUGACGCACAGGAGGCCCGUAAUGACAUGCGAAUAGCCCCUUGCAGGCUCCCCCUUCUCCCUGCCCCCCCCCCUCCAUUCACCUUCACAUCUGUGCUGUUGCUGCUGCUGCUCUCUUCUUUUGCUUGUUGCAGCUCACGAAGCCACUGUCGUCUAUUGUGCGCGGGACUUUGUGUGUUCGCUGCACAGAAAAACAAAGGGAGGCGGCAGCUGUCGGUGUGAAGCCGGAGGUCGUCUUGCCCCGCUCUCUGUCUCCCUCAUCCCCUCACCUAGUCGUGCGUGCGUGUGCUUUCAUAUAGCUGCAUAACGGGACUCUCUGUUGUUGCUGUGCUUCCUCUCCCUCUGUCUGUGGGUUCUUCAUCGCCUCCCUCCCCAGCACACGCACACCUCCGACGUCCACUCACCAACCCUCACCAUCGCCGUCAUCGCUUGGUACACUGUCUCUCUCUCUCCCUUUUUGGGUACCGUGAUUCUGUUUUUUUUUUUCGCUAUCCCUUCUAUACGUAGCUGCGUCUCUCCUAUCCUAGCCGUGCACAGCACACCUCUUCCUGGAGCCUGCCGUCUGUCCGUCACCACCGCCACCAUCACCCCAACCCUUCCCCUCCUCCGCCACGGCGAGCCGAAUAGCCUCGCUGGCGAGCGCGGUGCGUGUGUGUGUGUGUGUGCCAUUCACACCAGACAGCGGACAUGCGCUUCAACGGCAACAGCGGCACCGCGGAGGAGGGCCGCCACAGCACGAGCCCGCGGAUAUUUUCUCCACCCCUCACCCCUCCGUCGUCGCAUCCGAUGACGCCGACGUGGCCGAGCGCGACGGCUGUGGCAGAGCAAGAGCGGCAGCCACACUACUCGCUCCCCCCCUCCUCGCCACCGCUCCUCAACCUCACGCACGCAGCGGACGAGACUGACAGAUCGUCGUGCGCCGCUGGUGCAAGCGCCGGGCAGCGGUACUUCCACACCUCCUCGCUCAAGGAAACGGAGCAAGACAGGGUCGCAGACAGCUUCCACCACGCCUGGAUGACAACGCCGCAGUCCAAGUCGGCUGGCGAGCUCGCGCCCAACGGCACAGACGAUUGCACAAAUCCCUCUACAGCAUUGUGGCACCGAAGCAGCGGUGCGGUGCAGCCUACCAGCAACAGGGACCGAGAAGCAGCCAACUGCAGCGACAUCGGCUGUAGCAACGUGGAAUGUAACUGCAACGGCGGCCGUCCUCUUAGGGACGAAGGCAGUGGCGCCGACGACCUCCACCGCGCCCCUGUGGUGCGGCUCACGGCCGAGGAGGAGCAAGCGGCGCGUCUGCGCGCGUACAACGAGAUGGUCGCCGGCGCUGCUGUCGGCAGCGAUGCGGGGGUCACCGAUGGGGUUAUCGCCGCAAACAGUCGCGACUUCGUCUCGGAUACACUGCGCACAAUCCUCCCCAGCGGCGUGACGCAGUGGUUCUCGCGCUCCGUCGACGCGGUGGCACACACUUCGUCGAGCAUGGUCCCCGAUGGUGUGAAGAGCGCCGCGAGCACGGUGUCAAACACAGUCGGCGUGGGUGCCCAGCAGAUUGGUGACGCGAUUGACCGGCUGCCCGACUUGGUGGUGAAUGCGAUUCCGUCCACAGUGAUGCCCGAUGAUGUGAAGCAGCUCUUCACGGAUUUCAGCAACACCUUUCGCAGCUUCUUCCACACGAAUAUUCUGUCCAUGCCCUUCGUGUUCCGCCAAGCCGGGCUGAUUGGUGGUAUCGUGCUGCUCUCCUUCGUCGCCAUCACGUCCGAGUACGCGACGGAGGCGUACUUUGGGGCGAAGAACCAGAUGAAGAACGCGCACAAGGUUGUCCUGUACGGUGAGGUGCCGCUCAUGAUAUGGGGCAAGUGGUAUCCGAUGAUCAACUUGUUCUACGGUGUUAUCCACCUCGUCGGCUUCAUUGCAUUCUCGUCGUCGAACGCGGCGGUGCUGCUCGGUGCCAUGGGCAUGAAGGGUAGCAGUGCGCAGGCGCUGGGCCUCAUUCUGCCCUCCCUAAUCGCCCUUCCGCUCGUCCUCAUGAAGAACGCACGCAGCCAGCAGCCCCUGGCGAUCAUGUCCAACACACUCGUGCUGAACUCCGUGAUUUUGAUGUGCGUGGACUUCACCUACAAGCCCCAGCCGCCCAUGAAGCUGUGGCCCUACUCACCAUCUGAGUUCUUCGUCGCACUUGGUGUAACAGUGUACGCGUUCACCGGUAUUGGCUCGACGAUCACGGUGGAGCGCGUCAUGGCGCCGCAGCGCUACCUCAAGCUGCUGCGUGUGUCGGUGGCGAUUUCGUGGGCGCUUCUCAUGGCCUUCGGCCUCAGCGGCUUUGUCGCCUACGGCAACCACACCUGCUCCGUCAUGACGGUGUCGCUGAAGUCCGGCCCAUUGCGGACCGCGGCGAGCGCGUUGCUCUUCCUCGCAUCUCUCACGAUCAUCCCGCAGAACACGUUCCCGCUGUGCGAGCUAUCGGACCGGCGACUGCUAGGGAUUACACGGCUCACCCACUACUGGGACAUCAAGCCGAACCUGCUGCGUAUCUCAUACCUCAUUCUGAGUGCCUCGGCUGCCUUCACUGUUCCGUACUAUGGGCUUGUCCUGUCCAUAUCCGGCUCGCUUGGCUGCGGCAUCGUUGGCCUCGUCGUGCCCGCCGCGCUGGACUACGUGAGACGCGAACGCUGGGCGCUGCGGAAGGGUCGAACGCUUCGCUUCUGGGAGUACAUUCUCGUCUUCGGUCUCGGCUUCUACGGGUGUGUCGUGGUCAUUAUUGGGGUCGUAUCCGGCAGCUACCAGCUGUGGAAGAACAUUCAGACAAGCUCCCCUGACAGCUGCUAGUCGGGCGCAGGCCUGUACGAGCCACCGUCCGCUCCACUCCAUUCCUCUGAACUCCGUCCACCUUAGGAUGUGCGCGUGCAUGAACGCGUGUGAGUCAACACACGAACAUGUCACAGCGGGAAGGGUAGAGGACACUGUCAAGGGGCCACGCACUCUACGGCGCCGACCCCUCCUCGCCCCCUCUCUGCGUUCGCGUUUGCGGUUGCAUACGCUUGCGCGUUUGCGUCUGUGCCUGUAUAUUCAGCGAGAGCUCUGCUGCGCACACCGAAGGCUGAAUGCCGACUGCCUGCAUGUCAAGUCGAGCGAGAGGAGUAAUACGAUAGACGCAGAGAAGGCGCAGUGCGGGUGGUGGCGCCGCGUGCAUGCGCAGGAAUGCGCGAAGGGGGGACAGCUGAGCCUCCACCACGUCAUCCCCUCCCUACCCCUUUCGCCUACGCAUACACAGGCGUACAUACGCACGACGUCGCCGCCGCUUCGCUUUCCUCUGCUAUCGCUGUCUUUACAGCUGCCUCUUCGCUCCUUUCUUUGCCGUGUGUCUUGCUCGUAUUUCUUGUCGGCUUCCGUCUUCGCUCCGCCGCUUUCCUUAGCCCUCCCCCCUUGCCCCCUCCCGCGACUGCUUCUCUGCUUGUCUCUGACAGGAGAAAGGAAGGAUGCAGGUUCGUGUUGGUGAGGUCGGUUGCCCAUUCACGUUUCUUUCGGUUACUCGUGCGAUGUUUCUCUGCGGACGGUGUUCGCUGCUCUCUUGCUUUCAUCUCCGGUAGUUGUGCGUUAGCCACGGCACCGCAAUUCAACGCGCUUCUCUCUUCACCAUCGCGACCAGCCGAAAAACCGCUGCGGCGCCCCACCAGCGCCGCAAUCUCUCUGUGGCCCAACAGUCGCCUUCGCCUCACGCCAUCGCCGUCCUUCUCCUUGUCAUAUUUCUUCUCUGCUUGCGGCGUGCCACCCCACCCCACCCCUCCCCUCCCCCCGCCUUUUCCUGUAUCUACGGACCUGGCGCUAAG
rnacentral:misc_RNA from 1 species